rnacentral:rRNA from 1 species
GUUUUCUGCUCGGUGAUUGUUAAACAGCUGCGGUAUUUUGACCGUGCAAAGGUAGCAUAAUAAUUUGCUUCAUAAUUGGGGGCUUGUAUGAAAGGAUACACAAAGGUUUUUCUUUAUUUUAAAGAUAAGAAUAAUUUUCUUUUUUAGUGAAGAGGCUAAAAUUUUAAAGUGGGACAAGAAGACCCUUUUGAGCUUUAUUGUUUCUUUUUUUUUAUAAAAAAAUUAAUUUGGUUGGGGCGACCUAGGAAGAAAAGAUCUUCCUUUUUAAUUUUGAUCCAAAGUUUUUGGUUGAUAGACUAAGUUACCAUAGGGAUAACAGCGUAAUUUUUUCUGAAAGUUCUUAUUAAAGAGAAAGAUUGCGACCUCGAUGUUGACUUAUAAUUUCCUAAUGGUGUAGUAGCUUUUAUGGUGGGUCUGUUCGACCUUUAAAGUUUUACGUGAUCU